GGGCGUGGCCAACGGAAGGUGGUGGUUCCGGUGUGCGCGCCCACUGGAUCCCACACAGGAACUGCGGGUGGGCGUGAAGGGGAGGGAACAGUGUCUCGGGAGCCGGUGGCUGCGAGACCAUGGAGAGGGGUCACGCAGGCCUGGGGCCGCGUGAGGGCUUGGCACCGGAGGAGGAGCUCGAGCCCCCGGGCCCUGCCUGGAGCGGCGACAGCGGGAAUGUCUCACAGAGUCACAGCAGUGCCUCCGGGCUCUGGGAGGAGGAGGACCAGGAGGCAGCGUUGGCCGAGGAAGGGGAGGAUGGCGAGCGGGGCGUGCGGCGGCGGUCGAGCUGGGGCCGGGAAGUGGCCACUGACGCUGCUGGCUUGGACCUGUCUCUGCUCCGCCGCACGGCCGCUGGCUACGCCACCUACCUGCUGCCGGCGGCUGGGGAGGGAGGCGGCCCCGAGAUGGAAGCUUUAGACAAGAGUCUUGAAGACCUACUAACUAGAGUUGAUGAAUUUGUUGGGAUGCUAGAUAUGAUUCGAAGUGACUCCUCACAAGUAGUUAAUGAAAGUGUACCUCAUAUUCAUACCAAAGCCACUGAAAUGAGUGAGAUAUAUAGAAAAAUUGACAAAUUAGAGGCCUUUGUUAAAAUGAUUGGAAGUCAUGUAACCAAAAUGGAGGAGCAGGUGACGAAAGCAGAAGCAGAACUUGGGACAUUCCCCAACACAUUAAAGAAAUUUUUGCACACAAUUAAUGUGCCAUCCUUUCUUAAUAAGUCAUAUUCCACAAAGCAACAACAAACCGUAUAUGAACCUCCUAUCCUUUUCAGGACAGAAGACUAUUUUCCUUGUUGCAAAGAAGGACCUCAGGCAUGAUAUUGCACAAUACAACAACCUAGGAAAAGACAUAUCAAAGGAAAAAUUCUUCUCAGUAUGCAUAUCUACUAUUUAGCACAUCAACGUAUUGGUGGAGUGAGAUAUGGUUCUCCCAUCUAGCAAAUUGAACAAGGGAACAAGCAGGGACAGAGAGGAAGAUUAAAAAGGUGUGUGUAUGUGUGUGGGGAUAACACCAGGAAGCCACAAGCAAAACAAAUGCCCAUCUUGAAAGGGGACAAAAAAAGGGGGGCCAGGAGGGGCUUACAGUGUCUCAAAUAAUGUAAUUGGCUAGCCAAAUUGUGAUAUAGGAAUGGAAUGGAAUAUUACUGCUCAAUAAGGAAUGACUAGAGAUAAUUUUUGAGAAACCUGACUGGUAUGAGUUGAUACAAUGAAGUAAGAACCAGAACAAUUUACCAAAAAAAAAAAAUUGAAAGAAAUUAAAGAACACAAAUCAAAGUAAUGACCAACCGUGCCUCCAGAUGUCCCAUAGUGAAGACACGGAUGUCCUAUGAUGCACCAGGGAGGAACAUGCAUUUUUAGACAUGGCUGUUGUGUAGAUUCAUUUUACUUUACUAGAUUUACUUGUUACAAGAAGUUCCCCUUCCUUUUGGUUCAGGAAAAGAGGAUGAAUAAUGAUACCAAAAAAAAGCCUACUGAAACUGAAAAAAAAAUUUAAUUAAAAGAACCAAAGGAAGUUCAGAAGGAAGCAGAAUCAAGCAGGAUGGCACUGCCACUUGUAAGGAAGAGUAUGAGAAAUGGAGAUUCAGUUUCACAUGUAAUCCCGUUGGUGUGUAUGGAAAUGUUUGCCUAUGGUGUUCAAAAUUUUAAAAGAAAAAACAAAAAACCACAAGCUUUUUGAAGGUAGGGGCUAUCUAAACCUUUGUAUUGUGUCCCCAACACACUGAAGGCCAUAUUUAAGGGACAUUUAUUCCCACAGUGGGAAUAUUAGUACCAAGAAAGCUAUAGAUACUUAUAAGACUAUUGGCUGUGCUGACAAAAACAUGGCUCUGAUCAAGAUUACACUCAUAUUGUACUCUUAUGUGGUCAGACUAAAUCUGGAUUAUUGUCUGCAGUUUUGAAUACUAAAUUCUAAGUAGUCACUGACAGUCUAUGUUCAGAAUGGCAAGGAAAUUGAAAAAUGCAUAACAAAGCAUUUUAUGAUAUACAAAGUUCAUUAUACCCACCAAUAAACUUCCUGUUUUAUCUAAUAUUACUUCCACUAUACCAUGUGGAUCAGUUGAAGGACCUAGGUUCAGGUGACAGAAAACUAGUGAAGAAUGUUACAACCAUCUUUAAGUAUUUAAAGUUUUAAUUGGAUGGGGGAAGUAAAUAUUUUGCCAGGUGCUAUAGUUUGAGGCCUAUUUGAAACCGGAGGAAGGAAAACCUCUUAAGUGCUGUCCAAAAAACACUAUAAGCUACCUUUCAAAAGUGAUGUAUUCAUACCAGGUCUUCAAUGGAAGACUGGAUGACUUGUUUAGAUGUUCUGGAUGGGAUUCUUGGUCAUGUAUGAAUGGGAUUAGAUGACUGCCUCUUUUCCAAUUCUGGGCUCCACUAACACUUUUGGUUUAUAAUACUUAGAUGUUUACUAGAUGAAAUAAUUCAUUCAGAUAGUAAACACUUUAUACUUUUUUUGUCAUACUCCAAAAAGGGAACAAUUUCUCAUAGUCUCAGUAACUGUAAGAGUUCAGACUAGAGGUUUGACUUCUGGGUGUGGAGCCAAGAUGGUAGAGUAAAUCAGUCACCAUGAGACUCCUCUCCAAUCAAUAUUUAAGUAUAGCCACAAAAUAAAAGCAGAAGUGAAAGAACUGACAAGGAGACAGUGAAAGAAUUUUCAAGAAAAUAAAAAUCCAAAAGGUAGGCAGAGAACAUUUGGGGCACUGGGGUGAGAAAAGAGUAUAAUCAAUCAGCCAGAUUAUAGUAAGUAGUGAAGAGCAAGCCACACACAACCCCACCCCAAAUCUUCUGUCCUAGGUUUGAAACCUAAGCCCAGGCUAACAUUCAGAUCCUGAGAUCCUGUCUGGGCAAAUAGUGGUCCAAGCCAAUCCACACCCCUUUAAAUUUUCCCAGUCCAGGGCAGUCUGAGCUGAAGUGGGCUGAUCCUUGUGAGCCCAGAGUAAAACCAGGAGUCUCAGUCUGGGGUUGUGAUGAGGAUAUAGUUUACAGUUUAGAGUAGCUGUUAAUACUAAAGGGGGAGCCCAGAUAUUUUUGCUUAAAGCUCAGGGCAGAACUCCAACGAAGGCAAUCAAGGUUGUGCUCUGAGGAUACAAUUUAAGUAGUUCCUAACCUGAUCAAUAUCAAAGUAAGACCAAAAGCUUACAACCAAGCUUAAGGCAAGUCUUUGAGCUAUAAAAGGAUGUCAUGUGUCAAUUGAAUCACAGGGGGAAGGGGCUCUCAGAGCUUUCAGCCUUCAGGUCACACUAUCUUCAAAGAACUGAAACUGGUAAAAACCCAGAAAAUAAGAAUAGCAUCAAGGAAGGAAAGAUUAAGAGGGUACCCCAACCUCCCAGAAAACAGAGCCUACCUAUAAAUAGGUAGGAAAAAUGAGCAAACAACAAAAAAAGCACCUAACUAAAGAAUUUUUAUGGAGACACAGAACAAGGUACAGACACAGAAGGGGAAAGUGACAGCAAAGGAAAAACAUGCAAAGUACAAAAGGAAAAUACCGAUUAUGUCCAAUCUAGAUUCUAGAAAAGCUCAAAAAAGACUUCAAAAACCAACUAAGAGAAGCAGGGAGAAAGUGGGAAAGAGAAAUGAAAGUGAUACAAAAAGAAAUGGGCCAACUGAAAAUAAGAACCAAAAACUGAAAGAGGAAAAAUAAGGCCUUAAAAAUCAAUUGACCAUCUAGAAACUAAUGAUUUCAUGAGAAACCAAGAAAAAUAAAGGAGAAUCAAAGAAAUGGGGGGGGGGGGGGGG